GAUGAACGCUGGCGGCGUGCCUAAUACAUGCAAGUCGAGCGAACGGACGAGAAGCUUGCUUCUCUGAUGUUAGCGGCGGACGGGUGAGUAACACGUGGAUAACCUACCUAUAAGACUGGGAUAACUUCGGGAAACCGGAGCUAAUACCGGAUAAUAUUUUGAACCGCAUGGUUCAAAAGUGAAAGACGGUCUUGCUGUCACUUAUAGAUGGAUCCGCGCUGCAUUAGCUAGUUGGUAAGGUAACGGCUUACCAAGGCAACGAUGCAUAGCCGACCUGAGAGGGUGAUCGGCCACACUGGAACUGAGACACGGUCCAGACUCCUACGGGAGGCAGCAGUAGGGAAUCUUCCGCAAUGGGCGAAAGCCUGACGGAGCAACGCCGCGUGAGUGAUGAAGGUCUUCGGAUCGUAAAACUCUGUUAUUAGGGAAGAACAUAUGUGUAAGUAACUGUGCACAUCUUGACGGUACCUAAUCAGAAAGCCACGGCUAACUACGUGCCAGCAGCCGCGGUAAUACGUAGGUGGCAAGCGUUAUCCGGAAUUAUUGGGCGUAAAGCGCGCGUAGGCGGUUUUUUAAGUCUGAUGUGAAAGCCCGCGGCUCAACCGUGGAGGGUCAUUGGAAACUGGAAAACUUGAGUGCAGAAGAGGAAAGUGGAAUUCCAUGUGUAGCGGUGAAAUGCGCAGAGAUAUGGAGGAACACCAGUGGCGAAGGCGACUUUCUGGUCUGUAACUGACGCUGAUGUGCGAAAGCGUGGGGAUCAAACAGGAUUAGAUACCCUGGUAGUCCACGCCGUAAACGAUGAGUGCUAAGUGUUAGGGGGUUUCCGCCCCUUAGUGCUGCAGCUAACGCAUUAAGCACUCCGCCUGGGGAGUACGACCGCAAGGUUGAAACUCAAAGGAAUUGACGGGGACCCGCACAAGCGGUGGAGCAUGUGGUUUAAUUCGAAGCAACGCGAAGAACCUUACCAAAUCUUGACAUCCUUUGACAACUCUAGAGAUAGAGCCUUCCCCUUCGGGGGACAAAGUGACAGGUGGUGCAUGGUUGUCGUCAGCUCGUGUCGUGAGAUGUUGGGUUAAGUCCCGCAACGAGCGCAACCCUUAAGCUUAGUUGCCAUCAUUAAGUUGGGCACUCUAAGUUGACUGCCGGUGACAAACCGGAGGAAGGUGGGGAUGACGUCAAAUCAUCAUGCCCCUUAUGAUUUGGGCUACACACGUGCUACAAUGGACAAUACAAAGGGCAGCGAAACCGCGAGGUCAAGCAAAUCCCAUAAAGUUGUUCUCAGUUCGGAUUGUAGUCUGCAACUCGACUACAUGAAGCUGGAAUCGCUAGUAAUCGUAGAUCAGCAUGCUACGGUGAAUACGUUCCCGGGUCU
rnacentral:rRNA from 1 species